AACGAACGCUGGCGGCAUGCCUAACACAUGCAAGUCGAACGAAGGCUUCGACCUUAGUGGCGCACGGGUGCGUAACGCGUGGGAAUCUGCCCUUUGCUUCGGAAUAACAGUUAGAAAUGACUGCUAAUACCGGAUGAUGUCUUCGGACCAAAGAUUUAUCGGCAAAGGAUGAGCCCGCGUAGGAUUAGGUAGUUGGUGGGGUAAAGGCCUACCAAGCCGACGAUCCUUAGCUGGUCUGAGAGGAUGAUCAGCCACACUGGGACUGAGACACGGCCCAGACUCCUACGGGAGGCAGCAGUGGGGAAUACUGGACAAUGGGCGAAAGCCUGAUCCAGCAAUGCCGCGUGAGUGAUGAAGGCCUUAGGGUUGUAAAGCUCUUUUACCCGGGAUGAUAAUGACAGUACCGGGAGAAUAAGCCCCGGCUAACUCCGUGCCAGCCGCCGCCGUAAGAC
rnacentral:rRNA from 1 species